rnacentral:rRNA from 1 species
UGGGGAAUCUUAGACAAUGGGGGAAACCCUGAUCUAGCCAUGCCGCGUGAUCGAUGAAGGCCUUGGGGUUGUAAGGAUCUUUCAGAUGGGAAGAUAAUGACGGUACCAUCAGAAGAAGCCCCGGCUAACUCCGUGCCAGCAGCCGCGGUAAUACGGAGGGGGCUAGCGUUAUUCGGAAUUACUGGGCGUAAAGCGCACGUAGGCGGAUUAGAAAGUCAGAGGUGAAAUCCCAGGGCUCAACCUUGGAACUGCCUUUGAAACCCCUAGUCUUGAGGUCGAGAGAGGUGAGUGGAAUUCCGAGUGUAGAGGUGAAAUUCGUAGAUAUUCGGAGGAACACCAGUGGCGAAGGCAGCUCUCUAAGCUACAUCUGACGCUGAAGCACGAAAGCGUGGGGAUCAAACA